GAUUGAACGCUGGCGGCAUGCUUUACACAUGCAAGUCGAACGGUAACAGGCCGCAAGGUGCUGACGAGUGGCGAACGGGUGAGUAAUGUAUCGGAACGUGCCCAGUCGUGGGGGAUAACGCAGCGAAAGCUGCGCUAAUACCGCAUACGAUCUAUGGAUGAAAGCGGGGGACCGUAAGGCCUCGCGCGAUUGGAGCGGCCGAUAUCAGAUUAGGUAGUUGGUGGGGUAAAGGCUCACCAAGCCAACGAUCUGUAGCUGGUCUGAGAGGACGACCAGCCACA
rnacentral:rRNA from 1 species